AUACGGAGGACGCGAGCGUUAUCCGGAUUCAUUGGGUUUAAAGGGUGCGCAGGCGGCCGUGCAAGUCAGCGGUGAAAGCCCGGGGCUCAACCCCGGAAGUGCCGUUGAUACUGCAUGGCUGGAAUGCGGUCGAGGCGGGCGGAACGUGGCGGGUAGCGGGGAAAUGCGUGGAUAUGCGACAGAACGCCGAUAGCGGAGGCAGCUCGCCAGGCCUGCAUUGACGCUCGGGCACGAAAGCGUGGGGAUCGAACAGGAUUAGAUACCCUGGUAGUCCACGCCGUAAACGAUGGGCGCUCGUCGUCGGCGGCAGACAGUCGGCGGCCAAGCGAAAGCGAUAAGCGCCCCACCUGGGGAGUACGGUCGCAAGGCUGAAACUCAAAUGAAUUGACGGGG
rnacentral:rRNA from 1 species